UUGGUGUACCUAAAACUUGAAGAUACUUCGACGACCUUGGAUGUGUCGUAACCUGGAUGGAAUUGGUAAGGAGAGUCUCCGAAGAACAAGACACCAUUGGCUUUGGGAUUGGAAGGUAAGCAUAUAGCAAAUUUUCGACGAAAACUUCCACCAAAUGCAGAUGAAAGCUGCGUGGGCAUUGAAACUCGUUCCUUUGCUAGGCCAAGCAUCCCCUUUGCGCCACUAGCAAGAUUUAUUAGGUUGAAGGACUC
rnacentral:misc_RNA from 1 species